GCCUGGAUUGCUCAGUCGGUAGAGCAUCAGACUUUGAAUCUGAGGGUCCAGGGUUCAAGUCCCUUCAAGUUCGGGCG